CCUACGGGAGGCAGCAGUGAGGAAUAUUGGUCAAUGGGCGCGAGCCUGAACCAGCCAAGUCGCGUGAAGGAUGACUGCCCUACGGGUUGUAAACUUCUUUUAUCAAGGAAUAAAGUGAGGCACGUGUGCCUCUUUGUAUGUACUUUAUGAACAAGGAUCGGCUAACUCCGUGCCAGCAGCCGCGGUAAUAUGGAGGAUCCGAGCGUUAUCCGGAUUUAUUGGGUUUAAAGGGAGCGUAGGUGGGUUGUUAAGUCAGUUGUGAAAGUUUGCGGCUCAACCGGAAAAUUGCAGUUGAUACUGGCAGUCUUGAGUACAGUUGAGGUAGGCGGAAUUCGUGGUGUAGCGGUGGAAUGCUUAGAUAUCACGAAGAACUCCGAUUGCGAAGGCAGCUUGCUGGGCUGCCACUGACGCUGAGGCUCGAAAGUGUGGGUAUCGAACAGGAUUAGAUACCCGUGUAGUC
rnacentral:rRNA from 1 species